rfam:Microbacterium sp. C448 genomic scaffold, scaff84
CCCGUCAACCACGGGAGUCCGGUGUGCCGGGCUGAGAGGAAGCGACCACGCUUCGACCGUCGAACCUGAUCUGGGUCAUGCCAGCGCAGGAAGGAGCACUAAUGAGUAC